GGGACAGGAUGAGAGGUGAGGAACGAACAGGAUGAGGAGAGGUGAGGAACAGGAUGAGGAGAGGUGAGGUGAGGGACAGGAUGAGAGGGGAGGGACAGGAUGAGGAAAGAGGUGAGGGACAGGAUGAGAGGUGAGGUGAGGGACAGGAUGAGGAGAGGUGAGGGACAGGAUGAGAGGAGAGGGACAGGAUGAGGAAAGGAGAGGUGAGGGACAGGAUGAGGAGAGCAGAGGUGAGGGACAGGAUGAGAGGUGAGGUGAGGGACAGGAUGAGGAGAGGAGAGGGGAGGGGAGGGACAGGUCUGUGACUGCAGCCGACUUGCAGGCUUGUGUGGGACCGCAGAGUGGCUGGAGUCCUGGCCCGGGAGUUCAGCCCCCUCCGGCCCCGUCACCUUGACCAGACCCCUGAGCCCGUGAGCUUUGGUUUUGUGUCUGUGAAGUGGGGACCGUUGUGCGUGUUGUAAAGUCUGACACCAUGACCUAGAGCAAACUCACGUUCAUCGUGAAUUUAAAUGCUCGAUCAUAAAUCAGUUUUACGUAAAACAUUAAUUCCCUAGUUAGAAAUAAAAAUUAAGCUGGGAAUCCCAUGAUGACAGCGUUUCCCAGUUUUACACCACCUGGUGUGUGUGUGACUGUUCUAGUGUCAAAGGUCCAUUUUGUUUUCACAAGACGCACCAGAGCUCAAACGGCUGUCUUCUGCGGACGUUGUUCCAAGCCGACAGACCCACGCUGAGCGUGUGCGAGCGGUGAGAGCGACUCCACGUGGCAGACAUGCGACAGGCCUACGAGGUCCGAGUCCCCGAGGAGAAGAGCGAGCCCGCCGGGGCGCCGCUCGGCCUGUGAGGUCCACAGGAGGAAAGGCCGCGGGCCCGGGCCCCCGCCGUGUCACCCUGGAGCCAGGAGGCUGAGAGCAGGCGUGGGGUCUGUUCUUCCCCUUGACACGUCCGCUGCCGCGGAGCUUCUGGCGAGAAGGUGAAACGAGUCAACGGUGCCCGCCAAGGUACUUGCGACGUUGCGCAUUUUCUUCGAAGAGUCGGCUCUGCAAUGGGCCUUGGGUCAGGGGGGCACAAGCUUUCCUCCGGGACCUCAGGGUGCACCGAGUGGCCUCCCUCCUGCCUCGCUCCGGGAGGCCGGUCGUGAAAGCAGGAACUGUGUCUUCUUCCUUCUCUUACAACGAACCCCGUGCAGAGUCUCACACAGACGGACCAUGGCGUGUGUCCCGCGGUCCCCAGAAGAGCGGGAACCCCUGUUGGGGACACACGCCUGCCGCCAUCUCCAACGCCACCUAAGCCCCUCAAUAGCUUCUCGCACCCCCGACCCAAGGCAGCAGCGCGCAUGUGGGUUUUUCGCAAUUCCCUUUGGUCUCCUCAUAAUUAUUCCGAAUACGAACAUGAAUGAAUUCUGAAACCUUAUUGCCUAUUUCUGCUUACUCGGCACGUAGAUCCGAUUCUGCUCUCGGACUGGCCCCUUCGCUUCUAUACAGUGUUUUACUCUCUGUCGCUGCUGGCCGGUCGGGGACUGUCUUCUCAGCAGGAGUGUGAACUGACCGCUGACCCGUCCGGCUCCUCUCGAGGAUCCAGCGCUACACUGUGAGCAGUCGUGCACCCACGAGUCUUCCCCUGGGGCGCGCACCCGCGGGGGCCUCCGGUGUCCCCCGAGGGAAACCCUGCAACUUCCUGAGAUGACAGCAAGUGACUUUCCAGGUGGCUCCUCGCUCACCAGGCAGUAAUAGUGGUGGGCACGCUUUCAGGCGCUGGAACCCGCCCACGGCGAGGGGAGUUCUUGUCACUCUGCGUCCUCAUCCGUGCUCAGCACCAACCCGGUGGACGUGAGAUGCCAUUCCAUGGUAGUUGUGAUUUGCACUUCCCUGUUCACAAAUAAGGUUAAGCCGCUUUCCUUACGUUUACUGUCCGCUUGUGACUUUUCUUCCAUGAAAUAUUUUUCUCUUUUGCUCCGUUGUUUCUAUUCGGUUGUCCUUUCUUAGAUUUUUGCCAAAUCAAACUUUUUUAAUUGAAUGCAGAUUUUUUUCAGACUUUCCUCUGGUUUGUUUUCCCAGAGCAAGGUUAUUAAAAAGCAACAUUUCUUUUUCCUUUCAAGUUUUACCUUUUGUCAGUAGAAGGACCACAGAUAGUAACUUUAUGUCAGAUAAAGCUAUGUGCAAAUCCCAAAUUUAAUGGCCUGUCAUUUUAUCUGUAAGUUACAUGGUCCUAAGAAAAUCAAAGAACACAAGUCUGCUCAUUGCUGUGAAAGGAGAAGUCAAAGCUCUAAGACAAAGUGGGCUCCAGGCGCAAUUUCAACUGCUGGGUAGGAGCUCCAUGCAGACACACCGGGAGGUUCUGUGUGGACAGGCUUUGGGGACCGUUGCUGGUGCAGGGUGUUCAAGUAAAAAGCUUAAGAAAUGAAAAGUCCAAUGCAGUUCGAGAGUUGAAUUGCAGAUUUUGAGUAGAUAGGAAAGUAGGUAAUGUAUACAACUGACAUUCACCAUCAAGGAUUUCUUGUGUAAAAGUUAAAUACUGAAGCUCGUGAUGUAGUGACAAUAAACAAGGGCGCGUACAACAGUCGCUGGGAGGAACUUUCUCAAGGCUUAUAGGCUUGGCUUUUUCUGGAAGUUGCCGCCCACAGGAGCAAGCAGGUCCCGUGCCAGCCCAGGGGCGGUGCCUCCGAGCAGGGGGACGGGACAGGUGGUCGCAUGUGGCAAAAGCAAAAGGAUCUCCCAGGAAGCUGAGGAGAACGGCUCCUUAAGGGGAGAUGAGUCCAAUCUUGGACUCUAAGAGCCUCAAGAAUUCAUUUUCAGGGUCACGUAGCCCACGACAGUAAAGCAAGGGUCACGUAUGCACACGCUUUAUCACUUGCAAGGUGAUUAUAGGGCCGCUCUCACAACCACCAUGCGAGGACCGCAGCACGGGGCUUGGAUCUGGCGCGAUGUGAACAUUCGGGACGUCGAGCAGCUUGUCCGUUCAGACUCAGGACCCAGAAGCUCCACCUGUAAAUCAGCUGACAAGACCUUGUCCCGCCGCCCUGCCGGGGCCCAUUCCGACGGCGGGCAAAGCAGGUGCAGCUCCGUCUGCCGGGCCCCUCCUGCCCUCCUGCUCGGCUUCCAGCACACUGCUCUGGCGACAGACAUCCCCCCAGACCGUGGACCUGGGGUCUCUGGGAAGAAGAGAUUCAGGCGCACCCACGGGGGACGCAGGACGGAAGAGGCAGAAACGCACCACUCCUGCGCUAUCUUAAGCCUGGUCUCGACGGUGUGCGUGCGUAUACACACGUACGUGAGGUUAGGGGGACAGUCAGCCUAGUCUCAGGUUGGUCACCAGCCCCUGCCUCCAUCCAUUCCGGCUUUCCUGCCAGAGGUCAUAUGGUUCAGAAAGGCUUCUCUGCACAUCUCAGCAUCUACGGCAUUGACACAUACGGCCCGAUUCUAGCCCGACUGGCCGCCUGAGAAACACCAUCAACGUCUGAGAAAGGAUUCCUUCCACACGACGUGACCCCACCCUCGCCACACCCCGACGCAUCUCUUUCUGAACGGUGGCACCGGGCGAGUCCCGCCGUGGUCGGCUGUGAGCAGGGAUGGAGGUCCCGGCCGGAGACUGCUCGGACCCAGGGAACACGACCGGAGUGACCUGUUAUUUCAAGCAGAUGUAAACGCAUGCUAUCGAUCUGGGCUUUCAUCAGUGACACGGUAUUUGAAUUACUGCUUCGAUGGGUCGCACGUGUCCGUGACCUUCAGGCCUCAGGGUCAUGGACCCGGCAGCUGGGCUCAGGUGUGACACAUAGCAGGAUGCUUUUCCACCUGAAGCGGGCAAAGGCGGAGACCUGGCUUUUCCAUCUUUUCCCUCCUGCUUUUCUUCUUCUCCCCCUGCCUGCUGCUCAGUGCUUAUCACAGACCCGUUAGGGUCCAGACCCCACGCUAGGUCUAAAUACACAACGGCCAGAAGACGACACAGCCCCAGCUCUCACGAGCUGACCAUCUACUGAGGCAAACAGAAAAGCAGACCAGCAGUUUGACGUCCUGUGACAGACACGUAGAUCCACGGGAGCACAUCGCAGUCAAGAUCCAGAACACUCCCAUCCUUCCAGAAAGUUCUUCAUGCUGCCUUCCAGUCACCCCUCAUUCCACCGAAGUAGUAACGGCUGCUCUGAUUUCCACAGAAGCUUCUCUGCCGAAAUGUGUCAGGGCCCGAACAAGGGAAAAUGGGCUUCUUUGUGUGUCCCCAGGGGAAUCCGUCAGGACGGAGGAGGCAACGCAGAGUGGGAGCUGUCCGCGGACGGAGAGAGGACAAGGAGGGGGGGCUCCAGCAGUUAGCCGGCGAGGGCUGCCCAAGCGGGAAGGAGGAGCUCCAGACAGAGAGAAAACAAGAUGGACGGGAAAGGAGGACGACGGACACAUACGUGUUUAUGACUCUGGGGUAAUGUUUCACCAUUUACACAGCGGAGCCCUCUCCCCUUGCUCGGCUUUGUUGAGAAUGCACUAAAAUAAUGCAUUUUCAUCAAAAUAUUAACAAAAGGUGAUUCUCCAUCAUCCUUGUACUCCCUGAAAUCCUGACCUCAUGCCAGAGCCUGGACAAGAUUACCAUGCAGUUAAACAGCCUCAACUUAAGCUUGGCUACUGUACCAGCUUUAAAGUAGGUUAUUCGAAAAAUUGCAUGUUACUCUUGCCUUUAUAUAUUAUAUAAAAUGUGCCUAUGUCAAAAUUUAUGCAGCUCAGAGACACCCCCAAAGGGUCAUUGGUUGAUAAAAGAGCAGUAUUACUCAGCAGUUCUUAAUAUUUAACUUUUUAAAAAGAUUUCUUAAAAAUUUGAGAGCGAGAGAGUACAGGCAAGAGAGAGCACGAAAGGAGGAGGGGCAGAGACAAAGGGAGAAGCAGGCUCCCCGCUGAGCAGAGAGCCCGACGCAGGGCUCCAUCCCGGGACCCUGGGAUCAUGACCUGAGUGGAAGGCAGUCACUUAACCGACUGAGCCACCCAGGUGCCCCCAUAAUCUUUUAACCAACUGAGCCACCCAGGUGCCCGGUGCCCCCAUAAUCUUUUAACAAACAAAAUGCUUACCCCAUCAACAUUAUCUGAAGUUUAUAAAUGACUCAGACAUUGUGACUAAAGACAAAGCAGAACAAAGCCCCGUUUAGGGUGUGCAUUUUCAAUGUGUGUCCUCACUGGGGCUCCCCUCUCCGCAGACGCCCCGGUACCCACCCCCAGCUAAUCCAACAGCUCCUGACUUGACACUCAGUGGGUUAAUAAGGCAUCCAGUAACAAAUAAGCUUUUACAGCUUAUGUUUUAGGGUUCCAUACGAGGUUAAGUCUUUUAAUUUUUUUUCCAUGUUGUUUAACCUCCAUGUAUUUGUGGUCUUUCCAGUUUUUUCAAGUUUCAUAGCAUUUCGGUCAGAAAAUAUGCACGGUAUGAUCUCAGUCUUUUCGUACUUGUUGAGGACUGAUUUGUGACCCAGUAUGUGAUCCAUUCUGGAGAAUGUCCCAUGUGUACUUGUGAAGAAUGUGUAUUCUGCUGUUUGAGGAUGGAAUGCUCUGAAUAUAUGUGUGAAGUCCGUCUGGUCCAGUGUGUCAUUCAAAGCCCUUGUUUCCUUAUUUUCUGCUUAGAUGAUCUGUCCAUUGCUGUGAGUGGGUAGAUUAAAUCUUCCUAUUUAUUCUUUGCUAUUUAAAUAAAUACACCAUAUAUUCUGAAUAUGUACAGCUUUGGUCUUUAAAGUGUGUGCUCAUCAUUCAGAAUAAUCAUGGCUGGAGUUAACCCUAUUGAAGUCAAAAUAACCAAAGUCCCCUCAACAUUCCCCUGCCUCCCCAAGUCCCAGGCAUGAACACGUUAGAGACUCAUGGGCUGGAUGCAUGGCGGAGUCAUGGUGCGGCCCCCUGGGUCGUUUGAAACCCAGCCUUCACACAUUACACAUUAAUACUCAGCUGCCUUUGGUGAAAUUCAAAUUUGGCCCUUAGCUGGCAGGCAUUUUCAGCCAUCACAUGGUUGGCUUUUUUUUUUUUUUCAAGAUUGUGUUGUUUUUAUUUUCAACACUUUGCUCAUAUUUUUUCAUUCUCAUCGCUCAAUCAGAAAGUCUUCGGGAUGGAGUCCCUGCACUGUGGAACCUGAUGCUCUGUCCGGCUACAGGGUCAGGAUGGAGUGGGAUUCUAGGACACACCCCACUGGUGUCAGAGAUUCGGUUGUCGGUGGUGUGAGGAGCCCUCCCCGAACACACACGUCGGAAAUGGGGCAUCAGGACACUUCCACCAACUACGCCGAUGGAUAUGGAUCGCUGUGAAGUAAAGACUUCAAGAUUUUUAUUUUAUAGAUUUAUUGGCCACUAAACUCACGGUUAUCUUAAUGCUCUAUGUAGGCACUAAGCCUAGAUCUAACGAAUCUGAGAAAGACCUUCCUGAUUCUGAGGCAGGUGGCCUGAAAACCACGCUGAGAAACCACAUACCCUCUAAUUUGUACAGGUUAGGACCAGGUGAGUGAAUGAUUUCAUCUAUAGGUCAAUGGUGACAAGUAAUGGUCACCCAAGGGUCACACGCACCUCUUAAUUGAUAACCCUGUUUAAUAUAGUUUUUCAAUUUUUUUAUGAAUUACAAUUCUUAGAAAAUUAGCAACUAUAGCUAGCUUGAAAGGAAUCUCUCUAAAAAAUGUUCCUGAGUGUCCCACUCUUAAAACUGAGUUGGUUUCUCUGCUCAUCAGAAUCCUGUAGAUCCUAUUUAUUCAUAAAUGAAACUGCAGCUCAGAAAUGGCAUGGUUUUCUGUUCUGACUACAGCUCUGAGGGUAGGAUUCGGCAGCUCGUGGCUUGUCCGAGAGAGACAGGGCGGGCGUGGUGAGACCAGGGCGGCAGGUGGUGGGCAAGGUGGCCGGUCUGCAGGCUGCCAGGAAGAAGGGUGGCUGGUGGCGUUUUUGAGGUGAGUCAGGCAGUUCAUGCGAGAAGCAUGUGCACAGAGGAAGAGGCCGCGCUGGGAAAGGCAGGGCUCGGGGCCUCGUGGCAGGCUUGGGGGGCCACGCACGUACCGAAGAGGAAUGGGAAACCCAGUUAUAGGAACAGAGGCACGGGGUGUGGGGGCCAGGGACAGAGGUGGCUGAGGCUCAAGUAUGAUGGCAGAGACCGGGACCCACAGUUACCACCAUCAUGCGUACCGGAUACGACGCACAGUGCUCAGCCUCUCACACGAUUGCCCUCUGCAACCUUGGCAGAGGCUCCACAGCAGAAGGUCCAUCCCAUGGGUGAGCGAACUUAGCCCAGCUUCCUAAGUGAAGUCACACUAAGUGCAAGCAUGGAUGGAGAAGUCGGUGCCCUGGAGCCCUGGUGGGAGGGUGCGGUGUGCACACACACGUCUGGGCUGCGUGUGACCGUGUAAGAGCGUGGAAUGGGACAGGGAACUGGAGGGGUUCCCCCCGGUCACUGAGAGACUGACACCCAGGAACGGGGAUGGAGUGGGAUUGUGAGGUCAGGUCCAACCAAGGGCAGGAGUGAUGCCCACGCAGUGGCCGGGGUGGGGAGGGCAGAGGAGGCAGCCGUGCUUCACUUCUGGCCCCAGUCAAGACGGGUUUGGGACCCGGGAGGUGAACGGGGGCUGGGGGGAUGGGCUAGCUGUGUCUGCACACACAGACGGCGCCUCGUUCCAGAGUAGCUUCAACAAGAGAAGCGACAGUCUGCUAUUCCAGCUUCCACGAUAACCGCCAACCCUGAUUCUUGUGCUCCCCACGUUCUCUCUACCCCAAAGGGUUGCCUGAAACCCUUGCCCUAGAAAUCUAUACAGUGAAAUGGAGCAAAGAAGAACUGCCAUUAUCUCCUUCAAACCCGGGUUCCUGGGGAUGGAGCUUCCGUGCUGCGUGUGGAAGAGCAUCCAGAGCCUCGGGGAACGGUCGCGGCGGAGACUCCUAGAAACUCGGUGUGAGCGGUUUAACCUACGCCCUCUUCUCGUUUUAGACUGAGAAAGAUUCCCAAAUGAAACCCUGAUGAGUGGACCCCAUCUGGGGAUGAAGACUACCAUCAGUGAACUCAGAGGGCUGCCCCGGGAGGUCAAGGUGCCAGACUCUACAGCUACAGGACAGAGGAUGCACGUCUGCCUCCCCAUCGAGCCAAGCCGGUCUCCGACUCUGCUCCCUAUGCCGGAGUGUGGUUCCUUCAACAUGUGGCUAGCUGGAAAGAUGAACAGAAGUGACAUGUGUUGAUGUAGAAUUUCUGAGAGGAAGGAUUUUAUUGCCAGUGGGAAGCCUGCCUCAUUCUUCUUUUGCUGAGGAGACUGGAGGCUGGGUCUCUCUCAGCUGGUCCCUGGAUGACCCUGUGAGCAGAGCUCCUCUCCUCACCCACAGUGACCAGGAAAUGGAGUGUGUUUGUUACAUAGACUCCUAGCCUGUCCUGACUGAUACACUUCAUAGCAAAUGAUUUAAAUUGCUUAACAUACUGUUCACCAUCCAUAAUCUCUUUGUUUACUUAUUCUUUGUUGUCUGCUCUUGAAAUGUGAUGUCUAUGUGGGCAGAAACCUUCUCCCUCUUGUUCACUAAUAAAUUCUUCAG